rnacentral:rRNA from 1 species
AGGAUAAACGCUGGCGGCGUGCCUAAUGCAUGCAAGUCGAACGAGGCAGCUUUCGGGCUGUCGAGUGGCGGACGGGUGAGGAACACGUACGAAACCUGCCCUUUGGUGGGGAAUAAGCCUGCGAAAGCGGGUCUAAUGCCGCAUACGCUCACAGGCCGACGGGGCUGUGAGGAAAGGCUUAGGUUGCCGAAGGAGGGGCGUGCGGCCGAUUAGCUAGUUGGUGGGGUAAUGGCCUACCAAGGCGACGAUCGGUAGCUGGUCUGAGAGGAUGAUCAGCCACACUGGGACUGAGAUACGGCCCAGACUCCUACGGGAGGCAGCAGCAGGGAAUCUUGCGCAAUGGGCGAAAGCCUGACGCAGCAACGCCGCGUGGGUGAUGGAAGGCUCGUUGGGUCGUAAAGCCCUUUUCGUGGGGGACGAAGACUGACGGUACCCCAGGAAGAAGCCACGGCUAACGUACGUGCCAGCAGCCGCGGUAA